AGAGUUUGAUCAUGGCUCAGGAUGAACGCUAGCGGCGGGCUUAAUACAUGCAAGUCAAGGGGUAGCAAUACACCGGCGUACGGGUGCGUAACGCGUAUGGAACCUGCCCUUAUCUGGGGGAUAACUCGGGGAAACUCGAGCUAAUACCGCAUAAGAUAGUAGAGUGGCAUCACUCAGCUAUUAAAGAUUUAUCGGAUAAGGAUGGCCAUGCGUAAGAUUAGAUAGUUGGCGAGGUAACGGCUCACCAAGUCUACGAUCUUUAGGGGCUCUGAGAGGAGAAUCCCCCACACUGGCACUGAGAUACGGGCCAGACUCCUACGGGAGGCAGCAGUAGGGAAUAUUGGGCAAUGGGCGGAAGCCUGACCCACCCACGCCGCGUGCAGGAAGACGGCCCUCUGGGUUGUAAACUGCUUUUAACUGGGAAGAAAGCAGCUCAUGCGUGAGAAUUUGACGGUGCCAGUUGAAUAAGCCACGGCUAACUACGUGCCAGCAGCCGCGGUAAUACGUAGGUGGCGAGCGUUAUCCGGAUUUAUUGGGUUUAAAGGGAGCGUAGGCGGCUGAUUAAGUCAGCGGUGAAAGGUAGCAGCUUAACUGUUUUACAUGCCGUUGAUACUGGUUAGCUUGAGUUGACAGAAGGCAGAUAGAAUUCCUGAUGUAGCGGUGAAAUGCUUAGACAUCAGGAGGAAUACCGAUUGCGAAGGCAGUCUGCUGCAGUCACACUGACGCUGAGGCUCGAAGGUGCGGGGAUCAAACAGGAUUAGAUACCCUGGUAGUCCGCACAGUAAACGAUGAUUACUAGAUGUUGGCAAGCCAGUGUCCAAGGGAAACGAUAAGUAAUCCACCUGGGGAGUACGC
rnacentral:rRNA from 1 species